GAAACCUGAGCCCUGCCCCUUGAAAAAUCCUGAGAUCUCUAUAAUCAAAAACUCGUUAUAAUGUUGCUAAAAGGUGCAAGUAGGGCAGCCUUGGCAAGGUCGCCCGGGAGAGGGAGUGCAAUAUUAAUCACGACCCAUCUCAUCCAACCGCGGAUAUCUAGUUCAUCAACGACUUCAAUUUAAUUAGUUUAAUGCCUUAAGAAUGUCUGAGUUAUACCCUUCUUGUACGCCGUAUUUGCAUUCAUAAAUAUAAUAAAAAAAACAUCACCAAAUAUUCGCAUAUAAUAAGCAUAAUAGGCUUUAUUGAAGAAAGUGACUUCUUGAGUACAGUUGCAAUUAUUAUCAAAUUAUAUGUAACGAUAAAAUAUCUACGUAAUCAGUUUAAAGAAUAUUUGUAAAAUUGUUUUCAUCAUCACGUAAUUGGAAAUAUAUAUGAAAACUCAUUACGCUCAAAAGUAGCGCUUUGACGCCGAUAAUUUUUACAAAGUGACGUUUUUGCGAAAUUCUCUUGAAACUAAUUGGUCACGAUUCUAGACAUCAACGAGCAAUCCGGUAAACAAAUCAAAGAUGAUUUGUCAGUCAAAUAUGGAGAACGAGUCCAAUUUUUGCUCUGUGACGUCACUGAUGAGAAGCAGCUCAUUAACGCUUUCGAUGAAGUUACCGCGCGUUGGGGUAGUUUAGAUCUCGUAGUAAACAACGCUGGGAUUGCUGAUGAGUCAUUCCCUAUGUAUAAGAAACAAAUCGCUUUAAAUUUUACUACUGUAAUCACGUCGACGUUAAGGGCGAUGGAGGUGAUGCGUAAGGACAAAGAAGGAAAAGGGGGCACGAUCAUCAACGUAUCAUCAAUAUUGGGGCUGAUGAGGGUCUCCCCGGGGCCUUUCGUGUACGGUGCCAUCAAGAAUGCUCUAGUACACUUCGGAAGUACUAUUGGGAUGGAUGAAUAUUAUUCCCGGACAAAUGUAAGAGUUAUAACAAUAUGUUUCGGACUCACUCAGACCAGUAUUAUUCAGAAUACAAAAAGUUUUGACGAACAAAUCAAUACGGACGCGGAAAAGAUCUUACGAGAUGUUUUAGUUCGAAGUCCGGGACAAACAACAGAAAUUGCCGCCAAAGGAGUCGCAGAGAGUUUCAAGAACGGUACAAGUGGAAGCACAUGGCUAGUUAAUAACGGCGUCAUAUCCGAUAUUACUUCAAGUGUAGUGAAAGCAUACGAUGUGAUGAGUGAACACGUUUUUGCGCGGUGUUAAAGCAUUUUUUUUAUUACAGAUUGA